rfam:Clostridium sp. CAG:230 genomic scaffold, scf385
UGGGCCGUCGCCAAGCGGUAAGGCACAGCACUUUGACUGCUGCAUUCGAGGGUUCGAAUCCCGCCGGUCCAG